CUUGACAUCCAGAGAAUUUAGCAGAGAUGCUUUAGUGCCUUCGGGAACUCUGAGACAGGUGCUGCAUGGCUGUCGUCAGCUCGUGUUGUGAAAUGUUGGGUUAACGUCCGCAACGAGCGCAACCCUUAUCCUUUGUUGCCAGCACGUAAUGGUGGGAACUCAAAGGAGACUGCCGGUGAUAAACCGGAGGAAGGUGGGGAUGACGUCAAGUCAUCAUGGCCCUUACGAGUAGGGCUACACACGUGCUACAAUGGCGUAUACAAAGAGAAGCGACCUCGCGAGAGCAAGCGGACCUCAUAAAGUGCGUCGUAGUCCGGAUUGGAGUCUGCAACUCGACUCCAUGAAGUCGGAAUCGCUAGUAAUCGUAAAUCAGAAUGUUACGGUGAAUACGUUCCCGGGCCUUGUACACACCGCCCGUCACACCAUGGGAGUGGGUUGCAAAAGAAGUAGAUAGCUUAACCUUCGGGAGGGCGUUUACCACUUUGUGAUUCAUGACUGGGGUGAAGUCGUAACAAGGUAGGCGUAGUGCU
rnacentral:rRNA from 1 species